rnacentral:rRNA from 1 species
UACGGGGGGGGCAAGCGUUGUUCGGAAUUACUGGGCGUAAAGGGCUCGUAGGCGGCCAACUAAGUCGGACGUGAAAUCCCUCGGCUUAACCGGGGAACUGCGUCCGAUACUGGAUGGCUUGAGUUCGGGAGAGGGAUGCGGAAUUCCAGGUGUAGCGGUGAAAUGCGUAGAUAUCUGGAGGAACACCGGUGGCGAAGGCGGCAUCCUGGACCGAUACUGACGCUGAGGAGCGAAAGCCAGGGGGGCAAACGGG